rnacentral:tRNA from 1 species
GAGGCCUUAGCUUAAUUAAAGUAUCUGAUUUGCAAUCAGGAGAUGUGAGUUAGUGUCUCACAGGUUUUA